rnacentral:rRNA from 1 species
GACGAACGCUGGCGGCGUGCCUAAUACAUGCAAGUCGAGCGGACGGAUGGGAGCUUGCUCCCAGACCGUCAGCGGCGGACGGGUGAGUAACACGUGGGCAACCUGCCUGUAAGACUGGGAUAACUCCGGGACACCGGCGCCCAUCCCCGCCACCUCUUUCCCUCCCCUGCCGCACAGCUCAAACAUCGCACCCCGCUACCCCUUACCGAUGGGCCCGCGGCGCAUUCGCCAGUUGGUGAGGUAACGGCUCACCAAGGCGACGAUGCGUAGCCGACCUGAGAGGGUGAUCGGCCACACUGGGACUGAGACACGGCCCAGACUCCUACGGGAGGCAGCAGUAGGGAAUCUUCCGCAAUGGACGAAAGUCUGACGGAGCAACGCCGCGUGAGUGAUGAAGGUUUUCGGAUCGUAAAACUCUGUUGUCAGGGAAGAACAAGUACCGGAGUAACUGCCGGUACCUUGACGGUACCUGACCAGAAAGCCACGGCUAACUACGUG